UACGUAGGGUGCAAGCGUUAAUCGGAAUUACUGGGCGUAAAGCGUGCGCAGGCGGUCUUGCAAGACAGAUGUGAAAUCCCCGGGCUUAACCUGGGAACUGCAUUGGUGACUGCAUCGCUCGAGUAUGGCAGAGGGGGGUAGAAUUCCACGUGUAGCAGUGAAAUGCGUAGAGAUGUGGAGGAAUACCGAUGGCGAAGGCAGCCCCCUGGGUCAAUACUGACGCUCAUGCACGAAAGCGUGGGGAGCAAACAGG
rnacentral:rRNA from 1 species